ACGGGAGGCAGCAGUGGGGGAUAUUGCACAAUGGGGGAAACCCUGAUGCAGCAACGCCGCGUGUGGGAAGAAGGUUUUCGGAUUGUAAACCACUGUUCUCAGGGACGAUAAUGACGGUACCUGAGGAGAAAGCUCCGGCUAACUACGUGCCAGCAGCCGCGGUAAUACGUAGGGAGCGAGCGUUGUCCGGAUUUACUGGGUGUAAAGGGUGCGUAGGCGGCUCUGCAAGUCAGUCGUGAAAACCAUGGGCUCAACCCGUGGACUGCGAUUGAAACUGUGGAACUUGAGUGAAGUAGAGGCAGGCGGAAUUCCCGGUGUAGCGGUGAAAUGCAUAGAGAUCGGGAGGAACACCAGUGGCGAAGGCGGCCUGCUGGGCUUUAACUGACGCUGAGGCACGAAAGUAUGGGUAGCAAACAGGAUUAGAUACCCUGGUA
rnacentral:rRNA from 1 species